GAUGAACGCUGGCUACAGGCUUAACACAUGCAAGUCGAGGGGAAACGACCGGGAAGCUUGCUUCCCCGGGCGUCGACAGGCGCACGGGUGAGUAACGCGUCUCCAACCUGCCUCUGACUGAGGUAUAACCCGUCGAAAGUAGGACUAAUAACUCAUGGCAUCUUCUGCGGGCAUCCAACGAAGAUUCAAGAUUUCAUCGUUCAGGGACGGGGUGGCGUCUGAUUAGCUUGUUGGCGGCGUAACGGCCCACCAACGCUACGCUCAGUAGGGGUUCUGAGAGGAAGGGCCCCCACAGUGGAACCGAGACACGGGCCAAAGUGCUACGGGAGGCAGCAGUGAGGAAGAUUGGUGAAUGGGCGGGUGCCUGAUCCGGCCAAGUAGCGUGCAGGAAGACGGCGCUAGGGAUUGUAAACUGCUUUUAUGCGGGGAUAAAGUGAGGGACGUGUCCUUCAUUGCAGGUACCGCAUGAAUAAGGACCGGCUAAUUCCGUG
rnacentral:rRNA from 1 species